rnacentral:rRNA from 1 species
CCUACGGGGGGCAGCAGUGGGGAAUCUUGCGCAAUGGGCGAAAGCCUGACGCAGCAACGCCGCGUGGGGGAUGAAGGCUCUCGGGUUGUAAACCCCUUUCAGCAGGGACGAAUCAAGACGGUACCUGCAGAAGAAGCCCCGGCUAACUACGUGCCAGCAGCCGCGGUAACACGUAGGGGGCAAGCGUUGUCCGGAUUUAUUGGGCGUAAAGAGCUCGUAGGCGGCUGAGUAAGUCGGGUGUUAAAUCCCCAGGCUCAACCUGGGACACCACCCGAUACUGCUCUGGCUAGAGUCCGGUAGGGGAGCGUGGAAUUCCUGGUGUAGCGGUGAAAUGCGCAGAUAUCAGGAGGAACACCAGCGGCGAAGGCGGCGCUCUGGGCCGGAACUGACGCUGAGGAGCGAAAGCGUGGGUAGCAAACAGGAUUAGAUACCCCAGUAGUC